rnacentral:rRNA from 1 species
UACGGAGGGUGCAAGCGUUAUCCGGAUUCACUGGGUUUAAAGGGUGCGUAGGUGGGUUGGUAAGUCAGUGGUGAAAUCUCCGUGCUUAACAUGGAAACUGCCAUUGAUACUACUGAUCUUGAAUUUUCAGGAGGUAAGCGGAAUAUGUCAUGUAGCGGUGAAAUGCUUAGAUAUGACAUAGAACACCAAUUGCGAAGGCAGCUUACUACAGGAAUAUUGACACUGAUACACGAAAGCGUGGGGAUCAAACAGG